CCAGGGCUCACGUCUGGGUGGAGACUGUUUCAAACACAAGACCAAGGGUCUGUGGGAGCCCAGAUGAGGUGCUGAGCCAACCCUGAGGGACUUCCUGGAGGAGGAGAGGUUGUCCAUCCUUCUCUUACAUACACUCACCUAUCUGUUCGCUCAUCCGUCCACAUGUCCAUCUGUUUUAUCUCUCCAUCAUUUACUGUGUCAGUCUCUACAUUCCUCUCUUGUCUCUAGAGAUUUUUCCAGCAUCCGACCCCAACCUUCCCAGCACAAACCCCCUCUUCACCUCCUACUGCCGACAGAUCCAACCCAGACUUCAAGCUUAGCUGGGCUUCAAGGCCCUGCCAAGUUACCUCUUCUCUUCUCUCACCGCUCCCACCGUUGAUCCUAGAAGCUUGGGGGCCCGAGGCACCGCAGCUACUGUGCCCAACGGUGGCUCCUCGUGAGGUCCUGGCGAGGUGUGGGCCGCUCUCCUGCCGGCUUCGUGGAGGAAGGAGCCGAGGCUCAGCGAGGGACCGGAUCCGGCCUCCGCCUGCCCGGCCGACCUCAGGGGACGGGCGGC